UGAUUCACUUCCUGGUCGCCUUGACAUAGAUUGUUGUACAGACAGGUAGCUGUAAGCUGUUGGUUUAGGAGUUAGGUACCCAACAUGGGUUGGUCUUGGAUGGGACUGUUGGUGGUCUGUGUCACCGUGACCCUCAUUGAUGCAGAAUGUCACUGUGCCAGUGCAGCUGCCUGUGCCGUGUUCCCCUCUACUCCCUGUAGUCAGGUCGGCGAUCCAGACAGAUGUCAGGAAGGAUGGUUCGGUUCCUACUGUCAGAAAC